rnacentral:rRNA from 1 species
UACGAAGGGUGCAAGCGUUACUCGGAAUUACUGGGCGUAAAGCGUGCGUAGGUGGUUCGUUAAGUCUGAUGUGAAAGCCCUGGGCUCAACCUGGGAAUUGCAUCGGAUACUGGCGGGCUAGAGUGCGGUAGAGGAUGGCGGAAUUCCCGGUGUAGCAGUGAAAUGCGUAGAGAUCGGGAGGAACAUCCGUGGCGAAGGCGGCCAUCUGGACCAGCACUGACACUGAGGCACGAAAGCGUGGGGAGCAAACAGG